rnacentral:rRNA from 1 species
GACGAACGCUGGCGGCGUGCCUAAUACAUGCAAGUUGAGCGAUGAAGAUUGGUGCUUGCACCAAUUUGAAGAGCAGCGAACGGGUGAGUAACGCGUGGGGAAUCUGCCUUUGAGCGGGGGACAACAUUUGGAAACGAACGCUAAUACCGCAUAAUAACUUUAAACAUAAGUUUUAAGUUUGAAAGAUGCAAUUGCAUCACUCAAAGAUGAUCCCGCGUUGUAUUAGCUAGUUGGUGAGGUAAAGGCUCACCAAGGCGAUGAUACAUAGCCGACCUGAGAGGGUGAUCGGCCACAUUGGGACUGAGACACGGCCCAAACUCCUACGGGAGGCAGCAGUAGGGAAUCUUCGGCAAUGGACGAAAGUCUGACCGAGCAACGCCGCGUGAGUGAAGAAGGUUUUCGGAUCGUAAAACUCUGUUGGUAGAGAAGAACGUUGGUGAGAGUGGAAAGCUCAUCAAGUGACGGUAACUACCCAGAAAGGGACGGCUAACUACGUG